rnacentral:rRNA from 1 species
GACGAACGCUGGCGGCGUGCUUAACACAUGCAAGUCGAACGGAAAGGCCUGCAGCUUGCUGCGGGUACUCGAGUGGCGAACGGGUGAGUAACACGUGGGUGAUCUGCCUUGCACUUCGGGAUAAGCUUGGGAGACUGGGUCUAAUACCGGAUAGGACAGCUGUUUAGUGUCAGUUGUGGAAAGUUUUUUCGGUGCAAGAUGAGCUCGCGGCCUAUCAGCUUGUUGGUGGGGUAAUGGCCUACCAAGGCGUCGACGGGUAGCCGGCCUGAGAGGGUGUACGGCCACAUUGGGGCUGAGAUACGGCCCAGACUCCUACGGGAGGCAGCAGUGGGGAAUAUUGCACAAUGGGCGGAAGCCUGAUGCAGCGACGCCGCGUGGGGGAUGAAGGCCUUCGGGUUGUAAACUCCUUUCGACAGGGACGAAGCGUAAGUGACGGUACCUGUAUAAGAAGCACCGGCUAACUACGUGCCAGCAGCCGCGGUAAUACGUAGGGUGCGAGCGUUGUCCGGAAUUACUGGGCGUAAAGAGCUCGUAGGUGGUUUGUCGCGUCGUCUGUGAAAUUCCGGGGCUUAACUCCGGGCGUGCAGGCGAUACGGGCUGACUUGAGUGCUGUAGGGGAGACUGGAAUUCCUGGUGUAGCGGUGAAAUGCGCAGAUAUCAGGAGGAACACCGAUGGCGAAGGCAGGUCUCUGGGCAGUAACUGACGCUGAGGAGCGAAAGCAUGGGUAGCGAACAGG